rnacentral:rRNA from 1 species
CUACGGGUUGCAGCAGCUAAGAAUCUUCCGCAAUGGACGAAAGUCUGACGGAGCGACGCCGCGUGAACGAUGAAGGCCGUGAGGUUGUAAAGUUCUUUUCUUGGGGAGGAAUAAUGAUGAGAGGAAAUGCUCAUCAGAUGACGUUAACCGAGGAAUAAGCCCCGGCUAAUUACGUGCCAGCAGCCGCGGUAACACGUAAGGGGCAAGCGUUGUUCGGAAUCAUUGGGCGUAAAGGGCACGCAGGCGGCAAUGCAAGUCUGAUGUGAAAGACCACGGCUUAACCGUGGGAGGGCAUUGGAAACUGUUUUGCUAGAGGGGUGUAGGGGAGACUGGAAUUCCUUGUGUAGGGGUGAAAUCUGUAGAUAUAAGGAAGAACACCGGUGGCGAAGGCGAGUCUCUGGGAACCUACUGACGCUGAGGUGCGAAAGCGUGGGGAGCGAACAGGAUUAGAUACCCUCGUAGUC